rnacentral:rRNA from 1 species
AGUGAACGCUGGCGGUAGGCCUAACACAUGCAAGUCGAACGGCAGCACAGUAAGAGCUUGCUCUUACGGGUGGCGAGUGGCGGACGGGUGAGGAAUACAUCGGAAUCUACUUUUUCGUGGGGGAUAACGUAGGGAAACUUACGCUAAUACCGCAUACGACCUACGGGUGAAAGCAGGGGAUCUUCGGACCUUGCGCGAUUGAAUGAGCCGAUGUCGGAUUAGCUAGUUGGCGGGGUAAAGGCCCACCAAGGCGACGAUCCGUAGCUGGUCUGAGAGGAUGGUCAGCCACACUGGAACUGAGACACGGUCCAGACGCCUACGGGAGGCAGCAGUGGGGUAUAUUGGACAAUGGGCGCAAGCCUGAUCCAGCCAGACCGCGUGGGUGAAGAAGGCCUUCGGGUUGUAAAGCCCUUUUGUUGGGAAAGAAAAGCAGCAGGUUAAUACGCCGCUGUUCUGACGGUACCCAAAGAAUAAGCACCGGCUAACUUCGUG